CAGCAGUGGGGGAAUAUUGCACAAUGGGCGCAAGCCUGAUGCAGCCAUGCCGCGUGUAUGAAGAAGGCCUUCGGGUUGUAAAGGUACUUUCAGCAGUGAGGAAGGUGGGGUAUGUUAAUAGCAUACUCAUUUGACGUUAGCUGCAGAAGAAGCACCGGCUAACUCCGUGCCAGCAGCCGCGGUAAUACGGAGGGUGCGAGCGUUAAUCGGAAUUACUGGGCGUAAAGCGCAUGCAGGUGGUUUGUUAAGUCAGAUGUGAAAGACCCGGGGCUCAACCUCGGAAUUGCAUUUGAAACUGGCAAACUAGAGUACUGUAGAGGGGGGUAGGAAUUUCAGGUGUAGCGGUGAAAUGCGUAGAGAUCUGAAGGAAUACCGGUGGCGAAGGCGGCCCCCUCGGACAAAGACUGACGCUCAGAUGCGAAAGCGUGGGGAGCAAACAGGAUUAGAUACCCUGGUAG
rnacentral:rRNA from 1 species